CCUACUCUUGUAUCCUCCUUUUGACUUUCAGAGAUGAUUGUCUUCGGUUCGGCCGGGGGAGUGACAGGUGCUGCAUGGCUGUCGUCAGCUCGUGUCGUGAGAUGUUGGGUUAAGUCCCGCAACGAGCGCAACCCUCAUCGUAUGUUGCCAGCAUUUAGUUGGGCACUCAUGCGAGACUGCCGGUGUUAAGCCGGAGGAAGGUGGGGAUGACGUCAAAUCAUCAUGCCCCUUAUGCUUAGGGCUACACACGUGCUACAAUGGGUGGUACAGAGGGCAGCGAAGUCGUGAGGCCAAGCUAAUCCCUUAAAGCCAUUCUCAGUUCGGAUUGUAGGCUGAAACUCGCCUACAUUAAGCUGGAGUUACUAGUAAUCGCAGAUCAGAAUGCUGCGGUGAAUGCGUUCCC
rnacentral:rRNA from 1 species